rnacentral:sRNA from 1 species
UAUUCUGCCCCAUGGGGAAGGAUGAGAAGCUUCGACUAAGGUUCGACUCGAGCGCCAGCGAGAGAACGUUGCCA